GAGACAGCAGUCGCCGCGGUAAUACGAGGGGUGCAAGCGUUGUUCGGAAUUAUUGGGCGUAAAGGGUGCGUAGGCGGCUUGACAAGUCUUGUGUGAAAUCUAUGGGCUCAACCCAUAGUCUGCACGGGAAACUGUCGGGCUUGAGAAUGGGAGAGGUGAGUGGAAUUUCCGGUGUAGCGGUGAAAUGCGUAGAUAUCGGAAGGAACACCUGUGGCGAAAGCGGCUCACUGGACCAUUUCUGACGCUGAUGCACGAAAGCUAGGGGAGCAAACAGGAUUAGAUACCCCCGUAGUCCCUGUCUCUUAUAC
rnacentral:rRNA from 1 species